CUCUGGAGAUGGCACUGUGCUCUCACGUCCACAUUGUGGAAGGCAGAAGGCCAAGAGACACUGAGUGACGCGUCUUCUGUAAGGGACUCAAUCCCGUUCGUGAGGGCUCUGGCCUCAGGACCUAUUCAUCUUCCUAAAGGCCCCACCUCUUAACACUGUCACACUGGUGAUUACGUUUCAACACAUGAAUUUUGGGGGGACAUCAUCAUUCAAACCAUAGCACCAGGUGUCACUUGCCCUGUCCACCUUCUGGGGCUGUGGGAUGCCAACUCCGGGGUCCCUGGAUCUCACAGCAAGCUGCAGCUGCAACCACCCAAUGGCAGAACAACCGGCUGAAGAGGGCAGAGUUCGACAUUGUCAUCAACUGGGAGAGAAGAACCGGCUUGUUUUGACAAUAUACUUUAAUAAAUUCAACCAAGUAGUCAAUAAAUAUUGAACUGAAUUGACCUGAAUAAUCUAAUAAUAAUCAAAGCUACUGUUUAUUGAGGAUUUAUUACGAGUCUGACACUUUAGCUUCAUUUUUCUUCUAAUUCCCAUAGUUACCUCUGGGAGAAGUACUAUUAUUUCUCUCACAUUAUAGGUGAGAAAAUUGAGGGUCGGAGAGGCCAAGGGAAUUACCCAAGGACACACAGCCAGAAGGUGGUAGAACUGGGAUUUGAACCAGUGUGGUCCAGCGCUCAUGUUCUAACCACACUCUUAAUGAUUUCUUUUCAUUUAAGCCUCAGUUUCCCUAGCUGUAGAAGGGGGAUCAUGGCAGUAUCACAAGCUGGUGUGGAGGUAACUGCAGAAUUUCUCUGGGGCUCUCGAAAUGCCACUAGAGCAGUUGGCUGCUGAUGGCAAGCCCUAGCCCGAGCUGGGCACUGGUCACUCUGGGUCCUCAGGGACCCUGCUCCUUUUGUGUGGAGCCUAUAAUUCCUAGAAAGCAGCCACUCUUUUCCCAUGGCCUUCCCUGGGUUUCCUUUUAAUGGCUGCUCCGUGCCUGGACGAUCCUUCUCCUGAAAUGCCUUAUGUCUCUGAGCGCUGCGGAGCAGGGCUGCCUGCAGGAGGAAACGUGCCGGCCUGCUAAUCCCCACACGCCGACAAUUCUGCACACUCUUGCCGCCUCUGCACUUCUCAGAAAUGCUUUUUAAGUGGCAGAUGCAGCUUAUGUUUCCCCUGUGCCAACAGGAGCGCUUGCUGCCAACGCUGACGGCCGCCCUCAGACCUGGAGACAGCCUCAUGAGUCCUGGGAGAUGCAAAUACUCAGGGCAUCUUGAGAUGGGGUAGGGCUGGGUUCUAGAGCAGCUAGGGGUCCCUGCUGACAACAGGCGGCAUCCAUGGAUACUGAAAGGGCAUACCUUGCCAAAGCCUCCCCUAUCCCAGUCCUGAUGCGGUGCUUACAUUUCCCCAUUAGUGCCCUUAGGAUAAAGGGCCUAGCUCCAGAAGGCUCUUAUUAGAAUACAAAUGUGGUAUCUAAGAUUAAUGAGACAUUAAUAAAGCAGGGCUUGACUUUCUUAAGGACCUCUAAGGACUGGGAACACCAUGAGUCUCCCUGAGGGAGGUGCUGAAACAGGGUGCCAAGCUGUGCUGGCUUGACAUCAGAGGUAACCCAGGGUGUAGCCUGAUCUGUCUCCUACCAGCUGGGUGACCUUGGGCCGGGAUCUUAACCCUUGCUUCACUUUAAAAUGAAGCAAAUGAUGGAAUCUAUGUUAAAGGGUGUUGGGGGGAUUAGAUGGGAGAAUGCACCUCAGAUGCUUAGCGCAGUACCUGCCUCUUAGUAAGGGACCAGUAACAGACAGUCACCUGAGAUCCUGAGGACACCAAGCUCCAGAGCCCAAAACUUCCUGGCCCCAGGCCCCCUCAGCCCAAGACAGGGUGGUUCCUCUGCUCCUGCUCCUUUCUCUUACCUCUAACACCAGCUCAGGGUGAACGUUCCCGGUGGGAUAUGGGCUCAUUGGUUAUUCUGGUCCUCUUCUGAGCUUGCAGGCUGCCCCUCUGUCCUCUGGCCUGGAUCCCUCUCCCCUGUGCUUCCCUCAUCCCUGGGCCAGACGGAGCCUGCACCCACACUCCUUGCCCUUGCGCAUCACCUCCCAACUCUCCUAGUGCCUGCAUCUCCCAGCUGGGGCCUAGGGAUGUGGAUUCCCAUUCCACCUGCCUGAGGCCCUGGGAGCUGCUGAGUGUCAAUUUUCUUAGGCAGUCCUUGAACAUAUGAGGUGGAAAGUGCUCCAGGGAUCUUCAGGCUCAGCCCCUUCACUGAGCAGAGGGAGUGCUCUGAGUGCUCAGAAAGAGAAGGGACUUCCCAAGGCCCUGCAAAGUGCCACGGGGUAGUACCCGUAUUCUCUGGCAGGGGACAUAGUUCUGGGAGUAGACAGGGAGGGUAUCCUAGAGGGACCUUUAACUCCAGGAGAAGCUCCCAGUGAAUCGUGGGGAUCUGUUGACUCUUCAGGGACCCUGUUUCAGACAACGCUCUUUCCUGGUGGUCUACGUAAGAAGCUCUACCUUUAUUAUCCCAGCUAGCCUCUGAGGAAAUAAAAAUAUUUCACUCGUUUGACAUGGUUUUUGCACUGUUUUGCUUUUACAAUCAUUCCCUUUUAAAUGCAUUUAGUUUUAAGCUCCUCAAAUCCUGUUUAAGUACAUGGGGAUAAGACUUCAAUGAAUAAAGCAAUAAACAGAAAAAGAGUUGUGAAUUUCCUCCUCUCUGCUCAGCACCUCU
rnacentral:lncRNA from 1 species